GUAGGUGGCAAGCGUUGUCCGGAAUUAUUGGGGCGUAAAGCGCGCGCAGGCGGUUCGUUUAAGUCUGAUGUGAAAGCCCACGGGCUCAACCGUGGAGGGUCAUUGGUAACUGGAGAACUUGAGUACAGAAGAGGAAAGCGGAAUUCCACGUGUAGCGGUGAAAUGCGUAGAGAUGUGGAGGAACACCAGUGGCGAAGGCGGCUUUCUGGUCUGUAACUGACGCUGAGGCGCGAAAGCGUGGGGAGCAAACAGGAUUAGAUACCCUGGUAGUCCACGCCGUAAACGAUGAGUGCUAAGUGUUAGGGGGUUUCCGCCCCUUAGUGCUGCAGCUAACGCAUUAAGCACUCCGCCUGGGGAGUACGGCCGCAAAGGCUG
rnacentral:rRNA from 1 species